AUUGAACGCUGGCGGCAGGCCUAACACAUGCAAGUCGAGCGAGCGGCGGACGGGGGAGUAAUGUAGGGGGACUGCCCGACAGAGGGGGAUAACUACUGGAAACGGUAGCUAAUACCGCAUACUAUCGGAUAACCCAUAUGGGAUUAGCUAUUAGGUGAGGUAAUGGCUCACCUAGGCGACGAUCCCUAGCUGGUCUGAGAGGAUGAUCAGCCCCACUGGGACUGAGACACGGCCCAGACUCCUACGGAGGCAGCAGUGGGGAAUAUUGCACAAUUGGCGCAAGCCUGAUGCAGCCAUGCCGCGUGUAUGAAGAAGGCCCUAGGGUUGUAAAGUACUUUUGGCAGAGAAGCGGUAUCUGCGGAAUAAGCACCGGCUAACUACGUGCCAGCAGCCGCGGUAAUUC
rnacentral:rRNA from 1 species